rnacentral:rRNA from 1 species
AGUGAACGUUGGCGGCGUGGAUUAGGCAUGCAAGUCGGGCGAGAACCGUAGCAAUACGGGGACAGCGGCGAAAGGGACAGUAAUGUGUAGGUACCUACCCCCGGGUUCGGGAUAGCUGCGGGAAACUGCAGGUAAUACCGAAUAAUGUCUCCGGACCAAAGGUGUGAUUCCACCUGGGGAGGGGCCUGCAUCCUAUUAGCUUGUUGGUGGGGUAACGGCUCACCAAGGCGACGAUGGGUAGCGGGUGUGAGAGCAUGACCCGCGUCAUUGGGACUGAGACACUGCCCAGACACCUACGGGUGGCUGCAGUCGAGAAUCUUCGGCAAUGGGCGCAAGCCUGACCGAGCGACGCCGCGUGCGGGAUGGAGGCCUUCGGGUUGUAAACCGCUGUCGUAGAGGAGGAAAUGCAGGGGGGUUCUCCCUUCUGUUUGACCUAUUCUAGGAGGAAGUACGGGCUAAGUUCGUGCCAGCAGCCGCCGUAAUAC